UGGGGAAUAUUGGACAAUGGGGGCAACCCUGAUCCAGCCAUGCCGCGUGUGUGAAGAAGGCCUUUUGGUUGUAAAGCACUUUAAGCAGUGAAGAAGACUCCGUGGUUAAUACCCACGGACGAUGACAUUAGCUGCAGAAUAAGCACCGGCUAACUCUGUGCCAGCAGCCGCGGUAAUACAGAGGGUGCAAGCGUUAAUCGGAAUUACUGGGCGUAAAGCGAGCGUAGGUGGCUUGAUAAGUCAGAUGUGAAAUCCCCGGGCUUAACCUGGGAACUGCAUCUGAUACUGUUAGGCUAGAAUAGGUGAGAGGAAGGUAGAAUUCCAGGUGUAGCGGUGAAAUGCGUAGAGAUCUGGAGGAAUACCGAUGGCGAAGGCAGCCUUCUGGCAUCAUAUUGACACUGAGGUUCGAAAGCGUGGGUAGCAAACAGG
rnacentral:rRNA from 1 species